rnacentral:snRNA from 1 species
GUGCUCAACUCAGCAGCACAUAUGCUAAAAUUGCAGCGAUACAGAGAAGAUUGUCAUGGUCCCUGUGCAAGGAUGACAGGCAAACUCAUGAAGUAUUUUAUAAUCUU